GGCGUGGUGGCAGAGUGGUCUAAUGCGCAGCACUCGAAAUGCUGUCUCCUCGGAGGCGUCUGUUCGAAUCAGGCCCACGUCG